ensembl:snoRNA snoRNA:Psi18S-525k snoRNA:Psi18S-525k
UAGGAGGCAAAGUGGCAUAUUUGGGAAUAUACCUUCCCAAUUGUGUCUCAAAUACUCCAAAAACAACUAUGUAAUAGGGACGAACGGCAUCCUGAAUAGUGCAUCAUACUAUAGCAGAUGACUUGUGUUCGUGCACAUGU